CACAUCUGAACUAUGAUACCUGGGAGGUAAUUACCCCACACUCAUAUUAGAAUUGUGAUACCUGGGAGGUAAUUACCCCACACUCAUAUUAGAAUUGGGAUACCUGGGAGGUAAUUACCCCACACUCAUAUUAGAAUUGUGAUACCUGGGAGGCAAUUACCCCACACUCAUAUUAGAAUUGUGAUACCUGGGAGGUAAUUACCCCACACUCAUAUUAGAAUUG